UCAGGUUAAAUGCUACAUUACUCAGCUAUUAAAGGCCUCGACCAUUGUCCCGCCAACCAUUGUUGGGAUUGACUUCGAGAGCACAAGCAGCAUAAUAGGUGCAAUAUACGCACUUUCCAGUAUAAACAAGACAUGCCAGCAGAGACAUUCAAAGAGUUCUAGAUUCUAUUAUUUUGCUUCUAAACAGUGUGUUCCCAAUGGAUUCAAAAAUUAAAGGCACUGCAACUAAUGAAUGCUCUCAAGAGCAAGGGUGUUGGUGUCAAUACUCGUGUGGAGCAGACUGAUGGUGUGGUAGCAUCACUUGGUGAAAAUACAAAUGUCAACCAUCAAACUUCCUCAUCUGUUGUACCAGAAGGAGGGCGUUCAGCAUCAAACAAUCAGAUUUUUGACCCAAAGAAUGGAAAGAAGAAGGCACGGUUGGAUUGGAUCCACCUAGAAAACACAAAUCACCAUUACAUUUCCUUAUGUUUUUAUGUCGUCCUUUUCGUUUGGUUAUGCACUAUAAUUUAGAACUUUAUCGAUUUUUAAUUAAACUCAACGCGGUGGGUGGUUUUUCAAUAAACACAAUAUAUGCAUUGAAGAAGUCAAGUCCUCAGCAUGUUAAAUUGUGUAAAAAAUAUUUUAUUUGAGAUGUUAAAUCUAUUC